rnacentral:rRNA from 1 species
UACGGAGGGAGCUAGCGUUAUUCGGAAUUACUGGGCGUAAAGCGCACGUAGGCGGCUUUGUAAGUUAGAGGUGAAAGCCUGGAGCUCAACUCCAGAAUUGCCUUUAAGACUGCAUCGCUUGAAUCCAGGAGAGGUGAGUGGAAUUCCGAGUGUAGAGGUGAAAUUCGUAGAUAUUCGCAAGAACACCAGUGGCGAAGGCGGCUCACUGGCCCGGUACUGACGCUGAGGUGCGAAAGCGUGGGGAGCAAACAGGAUUAGAA